UACGUAGGGUGCGAGCGUUAUCCGGAUUUACUGGGCGUAAAGCGUCCGUCGGCGGUUUUUCAAGUCUCUUGUUUAAGACCAUGGCUUAACUGUGGGAAAGCAAGGGAAACUGGAAGACUUGAGUCUGUUGGAGGAAGUUGGAAUUCUCGGUGGAGGGGUGAAAUCCGUAGAUAUCGAGAGGAACGCCAAUUGCAAAGGCAAGCUUCUAUGACAGUACUGACGCUCAGGGACGAAAGCUAGGGUAGCAAAAGGG
rnacentral:misc_RNA from 1 species